rnacentral:lncRNA from 1 species
CUGCUGGGGGUGAGGAUUUUCGGGAUCAGGAAUGCUCAGCAAGAGGAUGUUCGGAGCAGGAAUGCUGGGUGAAGGCUUGGGGAUGGAAUGUUUGGAGUGAAGGCGCUUGGGGUUAGGACACUUGGGGCAGGGACAUUCGAAAAAGGGAGAUGUGGAGAAGCUCGGGGCAGGGACUCAGAGCAGGGACAAGGAGCAGGGACAAGGGGCAGGACACUCGGAGCAGGGACAUGUGGAGAAUAGACAUGGAGCAGGGACAUGGAGCGGGGACACGGAGCAGGGACAAGGAGCAGGGACACGGAGCAGGGACACGGAGCAGGGACACUCGGAGCAGAAACAUGGAACAGGACAGAGCAGGGACAUUUGGAGAAUAGACAUGGAGCAGGGACAUGGAGCGGGGACACGGAGCAGGGACAAGGAGCAGGGACACUCGGAGCAGAAACAUGGAACAGGACACUCCGAGCAGGGACAUUUGGAGAAUAGACAUGGAGCAGGGACAUGGAGUAGGAUACUCAGAGCAGGGACACGGAGCAGAAACAUGGAACAGGACACAGAGCAGGGACAUUUGGAGAAUAGACAUGGAGCAGGGACAUGGAGUAGGACACUCAGAGCAGGGACAUGGAGCAGGGACAAGGAGCAGGGACACCCGGAGCAGAAACAUGGAGUAGGACACCCAGAGCAGGGACAUGGAGCAGGGACAAGGAGCAGGGACACCGAGCAGGGACACCCGGAGCAGAAACAUGGAGUAGGACACCCAGAGCAGGGACAAGGAGCAGGGACACCGAGCAGGGACACUCGGCCACGCUCAGCACUGCCCCAGCAGCUGCUCCCAGCGGAGCAGUUUUUGGGAAGCCGAAUGCCGCGGCCAGGCCACGCCGUGUGUUCCCAGCACCGGGAGCCGCCAGUUGGCACGGGGAAAGGCUUGGCACGGCACAGCUGCCGGCCCCGGCCGGGAGCCGAGCUCUUGAAAGGGAAAAAAAGGAGAGGGGGGAAAAGAAUCACCCCCACGGGACUAUUUUUGUUUCUCAAAGCAGUUUUUUCCUUAAACACAGCUGGCUCCCCUCGUGCCGGCUCCCAGAUUGGCACCGGGGCCGGCUUGGCAAGGCUGAAUCACCGUGCCUGCUCUGUCCCUGGGGAAGGGAAAGCAGGGAGGGAGAGGAGGGAAGAGGAAGGGGAGAAAGGAAAGGGGAAGCAGAAAAAGAGGAAGGGAGGAGGUAGAGAAAGGAGAAGUCAAGUGGAAGGAGAAUACGGGGAAGGAGAUUAUAGCAAAGAGAAAG